GACGAAGGGGGCAAGCGUUGUUCGGAAUUACUGGGCGUAAAGGGCGCGUAGGCGGUUCUUUAAGUCAGGCGUGAAAGCCCUGGGCUCAACCUGGGAGUGGCGCUUGAUACUGGAGGACUAGAGAGUGGGAGAGGUUGGUGGAAUUCCCAGUGUAGAGGUGAAAUUCGUAGAUAUUGGGAAGAACACCGGUGGCGAAGGCGGCCAACUGGACCAUUUCUGACGCUGAGGCGCGAAAGCUAGGGGAGCAAACGGG
rnacentral:rRNA from 1 species